CUGAGCCUCUCCUCACAGGCAUAGAAAGGAAGCAAUCCCCUCUGCACAUCUCCUAAGACGGCCUUUAGUUAUAAAGAAGAAUUAAUUUUUACACAGGAAAUGGACAUUAAGCUGCUGUGUCGCCUGUCCUGCAGUCUACCCAAGUCAACACUUAAUCCACCUUCACCUCAUCACCAGAGUAACCUCCCUCUGGGAAGGUGGAAGGUACACAGACG
rnacentral:lncRNA from 1 species